AGCUAUAAUAUUAUUCACCAGUGUAACUGGGUCAGUGAGGUAUCUAUUCUGUUGCCCCUAUGCCCACAACGUGGCUUCAAAAGGGAAAUACAUUGCUUUUGUUACCACAGAAGCAAAGACUGACAACCCUGAGGUGGAAUUGAAGCCUGGCAUAGACCUACUUGGACCUGUAGACGAGAUACUCUUUGAAAGUUAUGACAGAUUUGUACUUUAAGCUAAGCCUUGGUUGAUUAAAUUUGUUACGGGUUCAGUUUCUAGUUUACAUCUCUUCCUUGCCCCUCUACAGAUUUGUACUCCAAGCUGAGCCUUGGUUGAUUAAACUAAGAAGUUUUUUUAGUUUGAGUGAAUUCAUUUC